CCUACGGGAGGCAGCAGUGGGGAAUAUUGCGCAAUGGGCGAAAGCCUGACGCAGCAACGCCGCGUGGGGGAUGAAGGCCUUCGGGUUGUAAACCUCUUUCAGCAGGGAAGAAGCGAAAGUGACGGUACCUGCAGAAGAAGCACCGGCUAACUACGUGCCAGCAGCCGCGGUAAUACGUAGGGUGCAAGCGUUGUCCGGAUUUAUUGGGCGUAAAGAGCUCGUAGGCGGUUAGUCACGUCGGAUGUGAAAUCCCGGAGCUUAACUCCGGGCCUGCAUUCGAUACGGGCUGACUCGAGUGUUGUAGGGGAGACUGGAACUCCUGGUGUAGCGGUGAAAUGCGCAGAUAUCAGGAAGAACACCGGUGGCGAAGGCGGGUCUCUGGGCAACUACUGACGCUGAGGAGCGAAAGCGUGGGGAGCAAACAGGAUUAGAUACCCUGGUGGUCCACGCCGUAAACGGUGGGCGCUAGGUGUGGGGAACAUUCCACGUUCUCUGCGCCGCAGCUACGACAUAAGUACGCCCGCCGUCGGGAGGUACGGCCGCGAACGGACGUAAACUACAAAUAGAAGUUAGACGGCGUGAGACGUGCCGAACGGACGACGACGAGGGAAGGUAGGAG
rnacentral:rRNA from 1 species